rnacentral:rRNA from 1 species
CCGGGGGGCCACACUGCCCUGGCCGUGCCCAAUCUCAUAUGACCUUGGAAGCUAAGCAAGGCAGGGCCUGGUCAGCACCUGGA